UGAAAGAGUCAGACUUUUUAAUGAAGUUCCUUCUUCCUCUUUUGUUUUUUUUGUGCCCUUGUCUAGAAUCAGUCAUGGGUGGAGAGAGGGUCAAAAUGACUCUGCAGUUAUUUUUCUCUUUUGUUGCACUAUGGAGAAAAAGAAAAUAAAUCCAGUGAAAGGUGAGAUUUGCAUGCAGUGGGGAUGAAGUUCAUUCAGAACUGCGACUGAAACAACAGCGUACUUCCCUCUUAGGCGCAAGCCCAUCCUUUUGUGUCUGUGAAGCUGAUGCAACAGACUGAUGCAACCCUUCCUACACAAACACGCAAGACCCGCCAGCCACCCACUAGCCACCCACUAGCUGCCUGCUCGCAGUCUGCCAGCAGCACAGCUGUCUGAGGGGGGCCUGCUAAUCCCCACUGUGCCACUGGCCAGCUCACACAGGGCAGUCCGGAUGACACCAGCUGUUAAAGGAUGCAAAACAGCUGGAGAAUCUUCUGCCUCUGGUGAACUGCUGUAGUGCUGCUGUAGUUUUGCUGUAGGGCUGCUGUAGGGCUUGUAGUGCUGCUGUAGUUUUGCUGUAGUGCUGCUGUAGGGCUUGUAGUGCUGCUGUAGUGCUGUAGUUUUGCUGUAGGGCUGCUGUAGUGCUGCUGUAGGGCUGCUGUUGUUUUGCUGUAGUGCUGUUGUAGGGCUUGUAGUGCUGCUGUAGUUUUGCUGUAGGACUAGCGUUGGCACUGUAGUACCGUGUUAUAGUGCUGCCAGUCUGAUAUUUUCUUGCAUGUUGGGUUGAUUAGGGGCAAUUUCCAAAACAGAAAAACUGAAAAACCUCCUUGCUAUUUCUUAAUAUUUAUGCUCUGCUAGUCUGCAUCUUCCUCACUUUUGGGUGUGCGCCAUUUUGGGUAUAUACAAAACGGAAAAACACAAAAUUUCCCUUUUCGACCCAAAGUGUGACUAAACCCAUUCAGCUGCAGCAUUCAUUAACCUCUAAUUCAUCAUUUAGCACAUGUGCAGUCUAACAGCGCUAACUCCAGAUCAAAGGCUAUAUUAACAAAUAACCUCUACAAUUUAGCCAUGUGAUAGACAGUUUAGCCAAUGUCACUUAAAAAAUGAAGAUUACAAUCAACCACGAUGGUGCAUGCCUAAAGACUUAAAGGGAGUGAAGAGUUAAUUUUCUAAAGGCAUUAUAAACAUGUUAAAGUGCUGUUUUAUAUGAAGUGAAAUUUAAUAUACCCCAUAUUUACCUUUUUUUAUUUAUUACUUAUAAGCUUACCAGAUAUACAUCCUGGAAAAACAUUUUGAGUGAGAAGAUGGAAGAUCAGGUGGAAGGACUAAUACUUGACUAUGACCUUUAUGGGAAACACCCCAUUAUUAUAACCUGCAAACUGCAGGACGGACCUGUGGGACAGACCUGUGGGACUUUGCUGGACGCGCUUUUUCAGAGUGAGAAAUGUCACACAGAGGCGUCAGUUCUUCCUCCCCACCAGAGGCAGCUCUCUCCUGAGCCAAAACAAUACCAUGAGCUCACUUCCUCCCUCCACACAGCUGUCCGAUUGUGAAAUAAACAUCCAUUUAGGUCCUUCAGCCCUGAUCCUGGAGAGCUACAGGCUCUCUGCAGAUUGUAAUUUUAAUCUUAAAAUCAGCAAGUAAUAUAGACAGGUAAGAUAGACAACAGCUUCAACUGAUGAAUUGGCGGCAGUGUAGCAUUAUGGGUAAAGAACUGGUCUUGUAACCUAAAGGUCACAGCUUCAGCUGGGUAGGACCCUGCCGUUGUACCCUAGAGCAAGGUGCUUAACCUGCAUUGCUUCAGUAUAUAUCCAGCUGUAUGAAUGGAUGCAGUGUAAAUGCUGUGUAAAAAGGUGUGUAAAGUCACUCUGGAUUCUUAAGAGCGUCUGCUAAAUGCCUAUAAUGUAAUGUAAUGUGUAUAAAUUCAGUGCACGUUUUUCCUGUAAAUGUUGCCCAAAUGGAAUAUUAAGUAUGAAGACAAUUGUAUAAAAUGAAUUGAGUAAUUUUAUGAUAAUUUCAUGUGUGUAAUUUUACACAUCAAUCACAAAAGUUUGCCUUUUUCUAAUGAAAAGAUACUCAAAUGUGAAUUUUAUAAUAUACUGUAUGUGUACAUUUAUGCAAAAAUCUGUAAUAGAUGUGAAGUUAUUUUUAGUAAUGAAUCUUUGUAUCAAUGUAAAAUGGAGUACAGUAAUGUUAAAUGGAGUAAAAUAUGGAGUAAAAUAUUAAUAAAACUGAAAAUGCAGUCUCAUAAUGGAGGAUUA